AAAAUGUAACGGGGCUGAAGCCAUGCACCGAAGCUGAGGAUGUGUAGCAAUACACGUGGUAGCGGAGCGUUCCGUAAGCUGAUGAAGGCAGACCCGUGAGGGCUGCUGGAGGUAUCGGAAGUGCGAAUGUUUGACAUGAGUAACGAUAAAGAGGGUGAGAGACCCUCUCGCCGAAAGCCAAGGGUUCCUGCUUAAAGUUAAUCUGAGCAGGGUUAGCCGGCCCCUAAGCACGAGGCGGACACGCGUAGUCGAUGGGAACCACGUUAAUAUUCGUGGGCCUGGUGGUAGUGACGGAUUGCACAAGUUGUUCUGGUUUAUUGGAUUAUCAGGGCAGCGGAGCGGUUCCAGGAAAUAGCUCCACCGUAUAGACCGUACCCGAAACCGACACAGGUGGUCAGGUAGAGUAUACCAAGGCGCUUGAGAGAACUAUGUUGAAGGAACUCGGCAAAUUGCACGCGUAACUUCGGAAGAAGCGUGACCCCAUAUGAGGCAACUCUUGUGGGGUGGCACAGACCAGGGGGUAGCGACUGUUUAUCAAAAACACAGGGCUCUGCGAAGUCGCAAGACGACGUAUAGGGUCUGACGCCUGCCCGGUGCUGGAAGGUUAAGAGGAGAGGUGCAAGCUUUGAAUCGAAGCCCCAGUAAACGGCGGCCGUAACUAUAACGGUCCUAAG
rnacentral:rRNA from 1 species